rnacentral:rRNA from 1 species
GUGAACGCUAGCGGGAGGCUUAACACAUGCAAGUCGAGGGGCAGCAUAGGGUAGCAAUACUCUGAUGGCGACCGGCAAACGGGUGAGUAACGCGUAUGCAACCUACCCUGUACAGGGGGAUAACCCGGAGAAAUUCGGACUAAUAUCCCGUAAUAAUAUCCGGAGGCAUCUUUGGAUAUUUAAAGUUUCGACGGUACGGGAUGGGCAUGCGUAACAUUAGCUGGUUGGUAAGGUAACGGCUUACCAAGGCUAUGAUGUUUAGGGGUCCUGAGAGGGUGGUCCCCCACACUGGUACUGAGACACGGACCAGACUCCUACGGGAGGCAGCAGUGAGGAAUAUUGGUCAAUGGGCGCAAGCCUGAACCAGCCAUCCCGCGUGCAGGAAGACGGCCCUAUGGGUUGUAAACUGCUUUUCCAGGGAGAGAAACUUACGCACGUGUUGCGUGACUGACGGUACCCUGGGAAUAAGCAUCGGCUAACUCCGUG